rnacentral:rRNA from 1 species
GACGAACCGUGCAACCGUUAUUCGGAAUCACUGGGCAUAAAGGGCGCGUAGGCGGCUUUCUAAGUCAGGGGUGAAAUCCGGCAGCUCAACUGUCGCAGUGCCUUUGAUACUGGAGAGCUCGAGGGAGGUAGGGGUCUGUGGAACUUCCGGUGGAGCGGUGAAAUGCGUUGAUAUCGGAAGGAACGCCGGUGGCGAAAGCGACGGACUGGAUCUCUUCUGACGCUGAGGCGCGAAAGCCAGGGGAGCAAACGGG